rnacentral:lncRNA from 1 species
UUUGUUUAUUUUUGUAUGUUCUUGGUGACUUUAUGUUGUUGCUGGAUCUUUUACUUGAUUGUGAUGCUGGAAUUUUAUAUCGAUCAUUAUGUGACAGCCCGUGUAGCUAAGUUGGUUAUGCACGAACCUCUUAACCAUUCUGUCGUUGGUUCAAUCCCCACGGUGGAGGCGAGUCUAGGUUUUUAGACACUUUGAUGAAUUCUUAAAUUCCAUUUUUUUUUCUAAGUCUCUAGAGAGAAAAGCCCUUAGAGAUUAUACAAUAGUCACCGCCCCCUUAGGGGUCGGUGGCUUUUCACCCCCUUUCCCUAUCCUCUCCUCUCUCUCCCUUAUCCCCUCCCUUUCUAUUUCCUAGUUCUUCCCCUCCCCUCUCUCUCCCUUAUCGUCUCUCUAACUUUCUCUAAUUCUUGCCCAAAUAUGUUUGGAUCUUGAAAUUUGUUUGUUUGUUUUGUGUAUUUUUUGUAUGUUCUUAGUGGCUUUAUGUUGCUGCUGGAUCUUUUACUUGAUUGUGUUCUUGGUUUUGCUGUCGCUUGGAUUGGGAGGGGGGGUGAAAUUGUUUAUUUUUGUAUGUUCUAGUGGCUUUAUGUCGUUGCUGGAUUUUUCCUCGAUUGUGUUGUUGGACUUUUAUAUCGAUCAUUAUGCGACAGCUCGUGUAGUAAGUGGGUUAUGCACGAACCUCUUAACCUUUCUGUCGUUGGUUCAAUCCCCACGGUGGAGGCGAGUCUAGGUUUUUAGACCCUUUGAUGAAUUCUUAAAUUCUAUUUUUUUUCUAAGUCUGUAGAGAGAAAAGCCCUUAGAGAUUAUACAGCAGUCACCGCCCCCAUAGGGGUCGGUGGCUUUUCACCCCAUUUCCCUAUCCUCUCCUCUCUCUCCCUUAUCCCUUCCCUUUCUAUUUCCUAGUUCUUCCCCUCCCCUCUCUCUCCCUUAUCGUCUCUCUAACUUUCUCUAACUCUUGCCCAGAUAUGUUUGGAUCUUGAUAUUUGUUUGUUUGUUUUGUGUGUUUUUUGUAUGUUCUUGGUGGCUUUAUGUUGCUGCUGGAUCUUUUACUUGAUUGUGUUCUUGGUUUUGCUAUUGCUUGGAUUGGGAGGGGGUGGAAUUUGUUUAUUUCUGUAUGUUCUUGGUUUUUGUAUGUUCUUGGUGACUUUAUGUUGUUGAUGGAUCUUUUACUUGAUUGUGUUGCUGGAAUUUUAUAUCGAUCAUUAUGUGACAGCCCGUGUAGCUAAGUUGGUUAUGCACGAACCUCUUAACCUUUCUGUCGUUGGUUCAAUCCCCACGAUGGAGGCGAGUCUAGGUUUUUAGACACUUUGAUGAAUUCUUAAAUUCCAUUUUUUUUCUAAGUCUGUAGAGAGAAAAGCCCUUAGAGAUUAUACAGCAGUCACCGCCCCCUUAGGGGUCGGUGGCUUUUCACCCCAUUUCCCUAUCCUCUCCUCUCUCUCCCUUAUCCCCUCCCUUUCUAUUUCCUAGUUCUUCCCCUCCCCUCUCUCUCCCUUAUCGUCUCUCUAACUUUCUC